rnacentral:rRNA from 1 species
UACAGAGGGGGCAAGCGUUGUUCGGAAUUACUGGGCGUAAAGGGCGCGUAGGCGGCCUGCUAAGUCGAACGUGAAAUCCCCGGGCUCAACCCGGGAACUGCGUCCGAUACUGGCAGGCUUGAAUUCGGGAGAGGGAUGCGGAAUUCCAGGUGUAGCGGUGAAAUGCGUAGAUAUCUGGAGGAACACCGGUGGCGAAGGCGGCAUCCUGGACCGAAAUUGACGCUGAGGCGCGAAAGCCAGGGGAGCGAACGGGG